AAAGCCGGGGAUCGCAAGACCUCGCGCUAUUGGAGCGGCCGAUAUCAGAUUAGCUAGUUGGUAGGGUAAAAGCCUACCAAGGCGACGAUCUGUAGCUGGUCUGAGAGGACGACCAGCCACACUGGGACUGAGACACGGCCCAGACUCCUACGGGAGGCAGCAGUGGGGAAUUUUGGACAAUGGACGCAAGUCUGAUCCAGCCAUGCCGCGUGCGGGAAGAAGGCCUUCGGGUUGUAAACCGCUUUUGUCAGGGAAGAAAAGUCUGGGGCUAAUAUCCUCGGACGAUGACGGUACCUGAAGAAUAAGCACCGGCUAACUACGUG
rnacentral:rRNA from 1 species